AGGAGACAUAACAUGAAAAACCCACUUUUUUAUCCGUUAACACAGUGUGUUUCACAUUUUAAGUGUCUAAGUGAGCAAAAAGGCUUAUAUUAUUCACUGGAGUUGCUAUUUAGAUAUUUAAUAAUUAAGUUUUGGGCAUAUUUGUCCACCCGUUCAGUUUUUACAUUAUCUAUUACAUCAGUAAUUAAUUUAGUCAGGAUAACUACCAAAUAUGGUAAUGGCCCUGGCUAAACACAGAGCCAAUCCGCCAUUUUUUCUUCUCGCUAAGAUUUUUUGUAGUCCUAUUGGAAAAAUGCAGAAUGUCUGGUUAUUUUAGCCACACACAGCUCAAAACUGUUCCUCGUUUUAAGGAAGGGUGGUGGGGCAGUAUUUAAACCCAGGAGCUGAUGACACUACUGCUAAAAAAAACACAGAAGAAAAAGUAGUGUGUUUGUGUUUGUGUUUGUGUGUGUGUGUGCGCGUGCGCGUGGUUCGUUCGUUCGUGUCUCCAGGCUAGUAAGUACUGAGGGCUUCAUCUAUCUAAAAGGAGUCAUUUGCAUCUGAAUGUGGCAGCACCGGGACACAGCAGCAGAGCGAGUCAACAUCCAGAAGACUGGAGCCGUGUUUCACUGACAGGCUGUCAGACUAACGCCCUGAUGAGCUCAGCUGGGACAAACUGGUCUGAUGUUUAGGUAAGUGAAGAUCUGCUUCUCCAAGUCCUUGAGAUGCUAGUAAAAAAUAAUUUAGCCAGCUUGCUAAUGUUACUUUUCUUCUCCUCUAAGGAACAAAGAACGUUCAGAUGUUGGAGCUUCACGUCACCUACUGAGGAAGGAGACCCACCAGUAAAGAGAUGGUAGCUGGACCAGACCAAAAAUAUGGCGAUGACAUCAUGGAACUGGUCUUUGGAAAAGUUUUCCCUGAACCAACUCCGUUUCUAGAUGAGGUAGAGAAGAUCUGCAUCUCACCAACCCUCUGAUCUCAGUAUUCAGACAACGGAGGUCUCCCACUGUUAUCCAGGACCAGUUUGAAGCCCACAUACUGCCCCUCCCUCAUCAUCAGGAAACAUCAAUCCGUAUCCUGAGGACAACAGAAGACGGCAGGAGGACAGGAACUCUGAGACCUAGAUACCACCAGCACCGGGACACAAAGCACCUGUGUGCACAACGCCUGUUUAACUACUAAAGCCUGUUUAUUAUAUUGUUCUACUUAUUUGCUGUGAGGUUAAUACUUAGAAAAUUUGUAUAUUAAUGUAAACAAUUAAAAAACAUCACUGAUUGUAUGUUUUCUUUUAGAUGUAAUGGUCCAAACUCAGCCUUGUAGACAUUUAUUGCAUCCUGUAGGUAAAUACACAGAACAGGCUCAGAUCCAGGAUGACCCAGCAUGCACUUCUUCCAUUCUGGCUGUUAGGGAUUUUAUCAAUAACUCAAUGCCUACUAAUGUUUUCACCUAACGGUAUUUAUUUAGAAUGCAGGUAAGAUUUAACUAUAUUUGUUAGCAAAGCAGACUGAUCUUGGGAAUUUCACUGCAGCACUGAUGUCCACCUCUCUGUACACAUUAGAGAGAAUUACCACUUUACAGCUAAACACAUUUAAUAAAGAUAUAGGCUACACAUUGCAGACAAUAAAAACAAAGUUGUAAGCAUUAGAAUUAUAAUGAUCACAUUAAAGAACAUUUGGAGGAAUGUUCUUUAUUUUUGACUAGAAUCUCAAAUCUUUAAAUUAAAAUGUAACUGCUUUUUAUCCAUUUUCAGCCUUAAGACACCCAAUAU